rnacentral:rRNA from 1 species
AACUUUCAACAACGGAUCUCUUGGUUCUGGCAUCGAUGAAGAACGCAGCGAAAUGCGAUAAGUAAUGUGAAUUGCAGAAUUUAGUGAAUCAUCGAAUCUUUGAACGCACAUUGCGCCCGCCGGUAUUCCGGCGGGCAUGCCUGUCCGAGCGUCAUUU